rnacentral:SRP_RNA from 1 species
AGGUGGGGAGUUGGCGGUGUCCUGUAACCUGAAAUCCGCCUUAUGCGGGGCUGAAUUCCCUCUUGAGGGUUGGCUUGAAGCCCUGACUGCCCGGCUAGCCGGUCGCCGUGUAACAGACGGUCAUGAACCUUGUGAGGUCCGGAAGGAAGCAGCAAUAAGUGAACUCGUCUGUGUCGCGGAUCGAUCCCGGCUAUGUCUGGUGUCAGGAUUUCAAACAAUUCGAAAGAGGGUGCACAA